rnacentral:lncRNA from 1 species
AUCAAUACCUGGUCAGUUUGCAUAAGGCAGUGUAUUUUGGUUUCAGAUCAGAAUCAGGAAACCCUACACUUUAAAGAUGAGAGGGGAAAACAUGCGAAGAGAGAGAGGCCACGUCUGAAGACUUGAGAGAGAAAAAAGGGGCUGGAAGCAGCAGAUCAAUCAUCAAGUGUUGCUGCACCAGUCCAUACCCCACCAGCUCGAACCCCAGCACCAUCUACUCCAUCACUGCCUCUCCAGCUCCAUAUUCUGCCACCUCCACCUGAAGUUCCCACCAACUGACAUACUCACUGAUUCAGUAAAGGGCAUCAAUCCCACACUGAGAAAUGUUUGGGAAGCAGAGGCUAGAGUGGAGAACAAAGUGAUGCUGUGGCUGGCUUUCCUGGGGUGCCUCUUCAGUCAGAUCUACCCACAGG